GGAGUCGUAGCUCAUUGGUAGAGCAUUUGCUUUGCACGCAGAAGGUUGCUAGGUUCAAGCCCCAGCAUCUCCA